rnacentral:rRNA from 1 species
AACGAACGCUGGCGGCAGGCUUAACACAUGCAAGUCGAGCGAGACCUUCGGGUCUAGCGGCGGACGGGUGAGUAACGCGUGGGAACGUGCCCUUCUCUACGGAAUAGCCCCGGGAAACUGGGAGUAAUACCGUAUACGCCCUUUGGGGGAAAGAUUUAUCGGAGAAGGAUCGGCCCGCGUUGGAUUAGGUAGUUGGUGGGGUAAUGGCCCACCAAGCCGACGAUCCAUAGCUGGUUUGAGAGGAUGAUCAGCCACACUGGGACUGAGACACGGCCCAGACUUCUACGGGAGGCAGCAGUGGGGAAUCUUAGACAAUGGGGGCAACCCUGAUCUAGCCAUGCCGCGUGAGUGAUGAAGGCCUUAGGGUUGUAAAGCUCUUUCAGCUGGGAAGAUAAUGACGGUACCAGCAGAAGAAGCCCCGGCUAACUCCGUG